rfam:Klebsiella pneumoniae IS46, WGS project CBWL01000000 data, contig: c44
GGUUAAGCGACUAAGCGUACACGGUGGAUGCCCUGGCAGUCAGAGGCGAUGAAGGACGUGCUAAUCUGCGAAAAGCGUCGGUAAGGUGAUAUGAACCGUUAUAACCGGCGAUGUCCGAAUGGGGAAACCCAGUGCAAUUCGUUGCACUAUCGUUAACUGAAUACAUAGGUUAACGAGGCGAACCGGGGGAACUGAAACAUCUAAGUACCCCGAGGAAAAGAAAUCAACCGAGAUUCCCCCAGUAGCGGCGAGCGAACGGGGAGCAGCCCAGAGUCUGAAUCAGCUUGUGUGUUAGUGGAACGGUCUGGAAAGUCCGACGGUACAGGGUGAUAGUCCCGUACACCAAAAUGCACAGGUUGUGAACUCGAAGAGUAGGGCGGGACACGUGGUAUCCUGUCUGAAUAUGGGGGGACCAUCCUCCAAGGCUAAAUACUCCUGACUGACCGAUAGUGAACCAGUACCGUGAGGGAAAGGCGAAAAGAACCCCGGCGAGGGGAGUGAAAAAGAACCUGAAACCGUGUACGUACAAGCAGUGGGAGCACCUUCGGGUGUGACUGCGUACCUUUUGUAUAAUGGGUCAGCGACUUAUAUUCUGUAGCAAGGUUAACCGUAUAGGGGAGCCGCAGGGAAACCGAGUCUUAACUGGGCGUUAAGUUGCAGGGUAUAGACCCGAAACCCGGUGAUCUAGCCAUGGGCAGGUUGAAGGUUGGGUAACACUAACUGGAGGACCGAACCGACUAAUGUUGAAAAAUUAGCGGAUGACUUGUGGCUGGGGGUGAAAGGCCAAUCAAACCGGGAGAUAGCUGGUUCUCCCCGAAAGCUAUUUAGGUAGCGCCUCGUGAAUUCAUCUUCGGGGGUAGAGCACUGUUUCGGCUAGGGGGUCAUCCCGACUUACCAACCGAUGCAAACUACGAAUACCGAAGAAUGUUAUCACGGGAGACACACGGCGGGUGCUAACGUCCGUCGUGAAGAGGGAAACAACCCAGACCGCCAGCUAAGGUCCCAAAGUCAUGGUUAAGUGGGAAACGAUGUGGGAAGGCACAGACAGCCAGGAUGUUGGCUUAGAAGCAGCCAUCAUUUAAAGAAAGCGUAAUAGCUCACUGGUCGAGUCGGCCUGCGCGGAAGAUGUAACGGGGCUAAACCAUGCACCGAAGCUGCGGCAGCGACACUAUGUGUUGUUGGGUAGGGGAGCGUUCUGUAAGCCUGCGAAGGUGACCUGUGAGGGUUGCUGGAGGUAUCAGAAGUGCGAAUGCUGACAUAAGUAACGAUAAAGCGGGUGAAAAGCCCGCUCGCCGGAAGACCAAGGGUUCCUGUCCAACGUUAAUCGGGGCAGGGUGAGUCGACCCCUAAGGCGAGGCCGAAAGGCGUAGUCGAUGGGAAACAGGUUAAUAUUCCUGUACUUGGUGUUACUGCGAAGGGGGGACGGAGAAGGCUAUGUUAGCCGGGCGACGGUUGUCCCGGUUUAAGCAUGUAGGCUGAUUAUCCAGGCAAAUCCGGAUAAUCAAGGCUGAGGUGUGAUGACGAGGCACUACGGUGCUGAAGUAACAAAUGCCCUGCUUCCAGGAAAAGCCUCUAAGCAUCAGGUAACAUCAAAUCGUACCCCAAACCGACACAGGUGGUCAGGUAGAGAAUACCAAGGCGCUUGAGAGAACUCGGGUGAAGGAACUAGGCAAAAUGGUGCCGUAACUUCGGGAGAAGGCACGCUGGUGUGUAGGUGAAGCCCCUGCGGGUGGAGCUGAGACCAGUCGAAGAUACCAGCUGGCUGCAACUGUUUAUUAAAAACACAGCACUGUGCAAACACGAAAGUGGACGUAUACGGUGUGACGCCUGCCCGGUGCCGGAAGGUUAAUUGAUGGGGUUAUCCGUAAGGAGAAGCUCUUGAUCGAAGCCCCGGUAAACGGCGGCCGUAACUAUAACGGUCCUAAGGUAGCGAAAUUCCUUGUCGGGUAAGUUCCGACCUGCACGAAUGGCGUAAUGAUGGCCAGGCUGUCUCCACCCGAGACUCAGUGAAAUUGAACUCGCUGUGAAGAUGCAGUGUACCCGCGGCAAGACGGAAAGACCCCGUGAACCUUUACUAUAGCUUGACACUGAACAUUGAGCCUUGAUGUGUAGGAUAGGUGGGAGGCUUUGAAGCGUGGACGCCAGUCUGCGUGGAGCCAACCUUGAAAUACCACCCUUUAAUGUUUGAUGUUCUAACGUUGGCCCCUGACCGGGGUUGCGGACAGUGUCUGGUGGGUAGUUUGACUGGGGCGGUCUCCUCCCAAAGCGUAACGGAGGAGCACGAAGGUUAGCUAAUCCUGGUCGGACAUCAGGAGGUUAGUGCAAUGGCAUAAGCUAGCUUGACUGCGAGCGUGACGGCGCGAGCAGGUGCGAAAGCAGGUCAUAGUGAUCCGGUGGUUCUGAAUGGAAGGGCCAUCGCUCAACGGAUAAAAGGUACUCCGGGGAUAACAGGCUGAUACCGCCCAAGAGUUCAUAUCGACGGCGGUGUUUGGCACCUCGAUGUCGGCUCAUCACAUCCUGGGGCUGAAGUAGGUCCCAAGGGUAUGGCUGUUCGCCAUUUAAAGUGGUACGCGAGCUGGGUUUAGAACGUCGUGAGACAGUUCGGUCCCUAUCUGCCGUGGGCGCUGGAGAAUUGAGGGGGGCUGCUCCUAGUACGAGAGGACCGGAGUGGACGCAUCACUGGUGUUCGGGUUGUCAUGCCAAUGGCACUGCCCGGUAGCUAAAUGCGGAAGAGAUAAGUGCUGAAAGCAUCUAAGCACGAAACUUGCCCCGAGAUGAGUUCUCCCUGAGACUUUAAGUCUCCUGAAGGAACGUUGAAGACGACGACGUUGAUAGGCCGGGUGUGUAAGCGCAGCGAUGCGUUGAGCUAACCGGUACUAAUGAACCGUGAGGCUUAACCUU